CGUGCAUGAAUGGAUUAACGAGAUUCCCACUGUCCCUAUCUACUAUCUAGCAAAACCACAGCCAAGGCAACGGGCUUGGCAGAAUCAGCGGGGAAAGAAGACCUUGUUGAGCUUGACUCUAGUCUGACUUUGUGAAAUGACUUGAGAGGUGUAGAGUAAGUGGGAGUCGUUUUCGGCGCAAGUGAAAUACCACUACUUUUAACGUUAUUUUACUUAUUCCGUGGGAGAAACCGCCCAGAAAAAGGAGCCCUCGUAAUCUGAUAUGUAUGCAAGAGUAACUAUAGUCCUAAGUAGUUAUCACAUUUCACAUGUAGUAACAACAACCCUGUAUUCACUCAGAAAAUGCAAAUCAGAUUACAGUAAUGUGUUCAUAAUUUCCUCUAUCUUCUUAUUAUUCAUCUGCCUUUGUCCUUUUGAUAUUUAU
rnacentral:ncRNA from 1 species